rnacentral:lncRNA from 1 species
AGAGAGCACCGGACCAUUUACUCUCCUGCCAGGGGUGGAUCAGGGAUGUCGGGAUGUGACAACAACAGGAUAAUUGGGAGGAGCCCCAAUGAGGAUCUGAUACUGAUGGUGUCACAGAAGCCAGAGAUCUCAAACCGGACCAGGGACUCACUGCAAUGAACAUUUGCAAGGACGGGAAGAUGGAGAGAGGGAUAGAGUGGGACAUGCUGUGAUACACUACACAAUGAGAUGCUUUUUAAUGCUUUGUUCUUGUUUUGUGUGUUCAUUUUGGGGAGAGGUUGCAAGGGUGAAGGCUGG